CCCAGCCAAAGGCAAGGCAUCAGGCACAAAGCUCUGAGCAAACUAAGUGCCGGUGGACACACGGCAGAGAAAAGUUAGAAAUAUCUGACUCUGUACAGAAAGUGACACACAGGACUUCUUUAGGCUCACUGAGAAACUGCAGGACUUCUGAGUAAGGAGAGGAUAUUAAAAGGCAAGUCACGGGUCCAAGUGUCUUAGUUGGCUCAGGCUGCCAUA
rnacentral:lncRNA from 1 species